GAUGAACGCUGGCGGCGUGCCUAAUACAUGCAAGUCGAGCGAACGGACGAGAAGCUUGCUCCUCUGAUGUUAGCGGCGGACGGGUGAGUAACACGUGGAUAACCUACCUAUAAGACUGGGAUAACUUCGGGAAACCGUAGCUAAUACCGGAUAAUAUUUUGAACCGCAUGGUUCAAAAGUGAAAGACGGUCUUGCUGUCACUUAUAGAUGGAUCCGCGCUGCAUUAGCUAGUUGGUAAGGUAACGGCUUACCAAGGCAACGAGGCGUAGCCGACCUGAGAGGGGGGUCGGCCACACGGGAAGAGAGACGCGGACGGUACGCCUGGGGGAGGGAGCAGAGGGGAAUCGUACGCAAGGGGCGAAAGCCUGACGGAACAGCGCGGCGUGAGAGAUAAAGGUGUUCGGAUCGUAAAACUGUGUUAUGGGGGAAAAACAUAUUUGGAAGUAACUGAACACAUAUUGACGGUACCUAAUAAAAAAGCCACGGCUAACUACGUG
rnacentral:rRNA from 1 species